AAAAUACAACUCACACAAUACAGAAGAAUAGAGACGCCUGAAGGGCUGCGCAGCUUUGCUUCUUGACAAAGCUCGAAGAUACACAUGCCUAUAUACAUGAUACAAUAGAUACAAGAGGGAUACACGCCUGGAAAAUUUGAGUGCAGCUGUGUAGCAGUACAAUUUUCGAAUCCCCCCCUCCUCCCCCCUCGAUCAUCUUCUCCAAACGACCCAACCAUCUCCAGCAUUCUGCCACUUCAACCCAAAUCCAGCUCACCGAAAAACAUGUAGUUUCAUUGGCCUCCCAUUGAAUUCGGCGAAGCAGAGGUUCAAACCGGCGGUUCCCGUUCUCUCAUCGUCUGUUAAAAAUAGCAGUAGACCCCAAAAAUCUCGUCGUUGAGGUUCCGAUUACAUGUGGUCGUUUUCUCAAAAAGGUUGUUUAUCAUAUUUGAUUUUGGAUUUGGUUUCAAAAAAGGGAUGUGAGUUUGAGGUUUGAAGCUGGUUCGUCGCUGUCCGAGGUUCAUGGUGGAAUUCUUUGUUGCUGUUACAGUUUGGAUUCGGCUUGUAAUUGCUUUGCAAAUCAAACUAGUUAAAGUAAUAUUGCCCGGGUUAAUCCCCUCUCCUUUAUAGCUCUGUUUUAUGUCCGAAAUUUGAUUAAAGCUGGAAAUUAAGUGCUACUGUCAUUGCGUUACAUGUCCGUUUGAGUUUGCAAUUUGAAUUCGUGUCGAGGUUGUUGGCAUCGUGGUUCCGAUUCGGUCAGUUGGUUCAAGUUUUAUUUCUGUCCGUGUUACAAUUUGUUCGAUUUUUUUUUAUAUGAAAACAAUGCAUAUGUUUGAUUUGUUUGUUUGGUUUUCUCCUAUUUUACUGUUGUUUAUGAAAUCGCGACUGUGAUUUGUUAGAUUCUGGAAAAUGUUUAAUUACAAUUAAGUCAGUUUGAGCCUUUGUGUAUGUUAUUUUAAAUCUGUGUUAGAAUGAGAAUUUGGGUAUAUAAUCACUAACUUGAAAAUCCAGAGGUUUAUUGUUGUUGUUUUUCAACCUUUGUAUUGCUUGAAUUCCUUUUGAUUAAUAUUGAAGACUUUGACAGAAU
rnacentral:lncRNA from 1 species